rnacentral:rRNA from 1 species
UACGUAGGGCGCAAGCGUUGUCCGGAAUUAUUGGGCGUAAAGAGCUCGUAGGUGGCGUGUCGCGUCUGCCGUGAAAGCCCAUGGCUUAACUGUGGGUCUGCGGUGGAUACGGGCAGGCUGGAGGCUGGUAGGGGCAAGCGGAAUUCCUGGUGUAGCGGUGAAAUGCGCAGAGAUCGGUAGGAACACCAAUGGCGAAGGCAGCUUGCUGGCAUGGUAUCUGACGCUAAGGCACGAAAGCGUGGGGAGCGAACGAGGAUU